rnacentral:rRNA from 1 species
GCCCCACCAAGUGCCGAAGGCCCUUGCCGGACCAUACCGCGUGAGGGAGGAAGGCUCUUGGGUCGUAAACCUCUUUUCUCACGGUAGAAGAAAGUGACGGUACUUGAGGAAUAAGCAUCGGCUAUCUCCGUGCCAGCAGCCGCGGUAAUACGGAGGAUGCAAGCGUUAUCCGGAAUGAUUGGGCGUAAAGGGUCUGCAGGUGGAACUGAAAGUCUGCUGUUAAAGAGUUUGGCUUAACCAAAUAAAAGCGGUGGAAACUACAGAACUAGAGUGCGGUAGGGGCAAAAGGAAUUCCUGGUGUAGCGGUGAAAUGCGUAGAUAUCAGGAAGAACACCGGUGGCGAAAGCGUUUUGCUAGACCGUAACUGACACUGAGGGACGAAAGCUAGGGGAGCGAAUGGGAUUAGAUACCCCAGUAGUCCUAGCCGUAAACGAUGGAUACUAGGCGUGGCUUGUAUCGACCCGAGCCGUGCCGGAGCUAACGCGUUAAGUAUCCCGCCUGGGGAGUACGCACGCAAGUGUGAAACUCAAAGGAAUUGACGGGGGCCCGCACAAGCGGUGGAGUAUGUGGUUUAAUUCGAUGCAACGCGAAGAACCUUACCAAGGCUUGACAUCCUGCGAAUCCUGGUGAAAGCUGGGAGUGCCUUAGGGAGCGCAGAGACAGGUGGUGCAUGGCUGUCGUCAGCUCGUGUCGUGAGAUGUUGGGUUAAGUCCCCGCAACGAGCGCAACCCUCGUUUUUUAGUUGCCAGCAUUAAGUUUGGGCACUCUAGAGAGACUGCCGGUGACAAACCGGAGGAAGGUGAGGAUGACGUCAAGUCAGCAUGGCCCCUUUA